CCCAGUUCAGGGAGGUAGUGACAAUAAAUACCUUACAGAGGUCUCGUUAUCGAGAGCUCUCAAACGGAAUGAGUACAACGUGAAUCCUUUAACGAGGAUCGACUGGAGGGCAAGCCUGGUGCCAGCAGCCGCGGUAAUUCCAGCUCCAGUAGCGUAUAUUAAAGCUGUUGCGGUUAAAAAGCUCGUAGUUGGAUAUCAGUGCGUGUCCGGUCCGGUAUGCCUGGCGCUGUCGCUCGCGCGGCAAUGCUGGGCUCCCAAAUAUCGGCUGGCCGCAUUCAAUCGUGCCGGAUCCGUCGGCGGGCCGUUCUUCGGAGGGGCCUGUUGGCGGCCGGCGACGUUACCUUGAACAAAUUAGAGUGCUCAAAGCAGGCUCUGUAUGCCUGUAUACAUAUUCAUGGAAUUGGAGAAUACGUCCCUGGCUCGAUUUGGUUGGUUUUGAGAGUCGAAGGGAAAUGAUUAAUAGGGACUGACGGAGGCAUUCGUAUUGCGACGCGAGGGGUGAAAUCCUGUGACCGUCGCACGACGAACUACUGCGAAAGCAUUUGCCGAGAAUGUUUUCAUUAGUCAAGAACGAAAGUUAGAGGUUCGAAGGCGAUCAGAUACCGCCCUAGUUCUAACCGUAAACGAUGUCGACCAGCAAUCCGCAACGGUCACUACACGGACUGUGCGGGCAGCUUCCCCGGGGAAACCAGAGUUUUUGGACUCCGGGGGAAGUAUGGUUGCAAAGCUGAAACUUAAAGGAAUUGACGGAAGGGCACCACCAGGAGUGGAGCUUGCGGCUUAAUUUGACUCAACACGGGACAACUCACCAGGCCCGGACACCGUAAGGAUUGACAGACUGAUAGCUCUCUCUUGAUUCAGUGGGUGGUGGUGCAUGGCCGUUCUUAGUUGGUGGAGUGAUUUGUCUGGUUUAUUCCGAUAACGAACGAGACUCUGGCCUAUUAAACUUGACACUGUCAGUCUCUUGUGACUGCGGUGCGCUUCUUAGAGGGAUCAUCGGCGUCCCAGCCGAAGGAGAUGGAGCAAUAACAGGUCUGUGAUGCCCUUAGAUGUUCUGGGCUGCACGCGUGUUACACUGAAGUGGUCAGCGCGCCGUUCAACACCCCUCUCCGUGAGGAGCUUGGGCAAACGUUUGAACCCUUUUCGUGAUGGGAAUUGGGGGUUGCAAUUG
rnacentral:rRNA from 1 species